rnacentral:rRNA from 1 species
GUAGGGAAUUGUUCGCAAUGGGCGCAAGCCUGACGACGCAACGCCGCGUGGAGGAUGAAGGGCUUCGGCUCGUAAACUCCUUUCGACCGAGAUGAAUACCCGCAGGGCCAAUACCCUUGCGGACUGACAGUAUCGAGGGAAGAAGCCCCGGCUAACCCCGUGCCAGCAGCCGCGGUAAUACGGGGGGGGCAAGCGUUGUUCGGAAUUACUGGGCGUAAAGGGUUCGUAGGUGGUCAACUAAGUCAUGCGUGAAAUCCCUCAGCUUAACUGGGGAACUGCGUCUGAUACUGGUUGACUUGAGUGCAGGAGAGGAACGCGGAAUUCCAGGUGUAGCGGUGAAAUGCGUAGAUAUCUGGAGGAACACCGGUGGCGAAGGCGGCGUUCUGGACUGUAACUGACACUGAGGAACGAAAGCCAGGGGAGCAAA